rnacentral:lncRNA from 1 species
ACAACGGUCCUCGUGGAUACAAAUUUUAUUACUUCGAUAGAAUUGGUACACUUGCCAAAAUCCUAUCACCUGUUGCAGUUGAUUUGAUGGUGCAGUUAUUGGAGGAUGAUGUGGUUGCAGUUGAGGACCAGAUGAGAAAGACGAAUGGUGCUCAUGAACAUUUUGGAUGGUUGAUAACUAUUUUCAAGGAGCAUCUUCAAGAAGCAGCUACGGCUAAGCAGCUAGUGACAUACCUGAGAUACAGAAGAAGCGUGACCAGGUUGUCCACAUCUAUUUGCCCGACUUGGUGGAUAUCACGCUCU